CGCCUUUAGUCACCCACUUAAAAAAAAGGCGCACUAGCUGCUAGGCUAACGCUAGCCGGGGGCUAACACGGUUAUGCUAGAUCAAAGUUAGGGUUAGAUGUCAACUUCUUACCGCAAACUUUUUUUGGUUGAUGCUGCUUUCGUUAUUUCGAAGUAGCAUCUCUGUCUUUUCAGAUCUGAGCUAGCUUUCGAAAUAAUGGUAAUUGGUCAGGUUAAAAGUUAGUGAGUAAGGAUUAAGUUAACUAACUUUUUGAUGAAUUAAUUAUGAAGGAGAGGGAAGUAGAGAGAACUCACAUCCAUGAAAAGCUGCUUAGAUCCUAUCCUUAUUUCAACAGUUCAUAACAGGUUCAAGUCCUUUCACCCUCAUGAGGAGGCCUACAAGCCCAGGGGCAGACGCCAGGCUGCAUCCUCCUCCAAGUUGUCCAAUGGAUACGUCCUGCCUGAGGGAAGACUGACUCCCAACGCGCUCUUUGUCGGUGGGAUAGACAUAAAGGUGGAGGAAAAUGAAAUACGCGACUUCUUUGCAAAAUAUGGCCUAGUUAAGGAAGUGAAAAUCAUCACAUACCGUGGAGGACUCUGCAAAGGUUAUGGCUUUGUGUACUUCAAUGAAGAGGUCAACAUUCCAUCAAUCGUUGAGGAACACAUCAGCUUUAAGGGCCGGAAACUCAAGCUGGGCCCCGCAAUCAUGAAAGAAAGGAGUUCACGGUCCAUGCAAUCCUGGCCUGGCCAAGCUCAUUGGACGAGCCCCACCCAGUACUUCUACUGUGCUUGCUGCUCACCUGUAGGGGGUGGUGUGGGACAACCAUCACCCAUUCUCAACGGCGGCAGCCCCUACCCUCCGCCAUACUCCUAUUCGAACUACGGAGGAGGUGUGAUGGUCCCACAGAUGCCAAUGAACUACCCACAGAAUGUCUUUGCCUACCCGUCCACUCCAGCUCACUGGACGGCGGAUCAGAGGACACACUCUGUCAAUCAGAGCUUUGUGGACUGUGGAGUCCAGACUAUGUUGACUGUGAUGUAGUCUACUGAUACUGAGCCUCCUGCCAGGUAAAACUCCACCUCAACAAACGAGAGUGCUAUCCUGCCAGGGAUACAGCAGCUAAUGCUGUGUCAAGGGAGGCCACGAGUCUGCUGACUUGUUCACCUUUUCUCAAGCUACAGUGCUGACAGGAUGGACAGACAGACAUCUUGAUGUUCCAGACACCCAGAAUCAACCCAUCUCCCAGACUGAUUUUCAAUACGCCCUCCUCUCACCUCAAAUUCUGAGACCCAUUUUAGCACCAGACUGCGGGAGCUCCCCACUUAAACUGUACUAGUUAGAUCACAGUCACUUUAACCACGACUGGUACAGUUUGGCCUGUGCUCAGCGGCUUUUAACCCACGUCGAUCACAGCAAUAAUAGCACAGGAAGAGCAAAACCCCCUUACUGGGACCAGCAAUUGUAUGGGCUCAAGUUUGUCACUUUUUUUUGUUUUCCUCUUGAUAUUUAUCCCCGCACAAAAGAUACGAAAGACUUAUAAGUUCACCAAUUGUGCCUAUUUAUAUUUUAUGUUGUAUUUAUUUUUGGCAUAUUUUCUUUGUUUAUUUAAGCCCCUUCAGUGGCUCUCUCUACAUACAAGCUAUAUAUAUAUAUAAAAAUAUAUAGUAGUAUGCUUAGUACUAUAUGACUCAAUUUCAGGCCUAAUAAUUCUCUGCAUUCAAAUUUCAAUUAACUUGACCACUACGGCAUAAUAGCACUUCGUCAUCCAAAUUAAUUUGUCAUUCAUUUCAUGCACUCAUGUUAUCGUUAAUAUUUGGUGGGCUGAUUUUAUUCCAUUGGGUGUCAUUAGAGGUGGUAAAUGAAAGAUGCCUGAUCACCAUACUGAACCACACCUUCCAGGGUUAGUUUCACAGAGCUCGUGGCACACUGAUCAUCCUGUGUGACUCUUUUUUUCGAACCAUCUCCCACCCUGUGACCACUCCCCCUCGAAUGUUUCCAAGGGUUCCCACACAAAGACAAUCACGGCAUCAAUUAACAAUUCCUAUCACUUCAUCAAUCAGCUUUUAAAAUGGGGGGAGGGGGGAAACGUGAAAAGCAGUUUUAAUCCACUUUGAAAUGAGUGUCACUAUUUACAAUAAGUUGAUUUAUUUCAUCUGUUUGGGGCAAAAAUGUUCACAGUAAAAAAAUUGGUUUUAAUCCAGAUGCUGGUGACCUUACAUGAAGAAUUUUACUGACAGUGCGAUCAAUACUUUUUUUAUUCUUAUUCCUAUUCAUGACAUGCACGGUAUGUUUUAGGUUUUAUUUUAGGGGCACCUUUGUUUGGUUUGAGUUCACAUUGGGUGUUUGGUACAAAUCACCUGUUAUACUUUCAUAUGGGCAUUGGCUUCAUAAUCUCCUGUUUAGACAUCUGGAUUGAGUCAUAUUGUUUUGUUCAGAGAGCCUGGGCACCCCACUAUGUUUGGGUAGUUCGUGAUAUUUGUUAAUGUUCACAUUUGUGCAUGUUUGAGUUUGUAAAAAAAAAAUAAAAGUUGAAAUGUUCUC